CCGCUCUCUGCAGUAACCAGAUUGGCUUCUGAAGGCAGCUCAAGGCAUUUCCCUACCGAGAGACCACAAACCUAGUGUGUGAGUGGCCUAUGUAUGUGUGUGUGUUUUUCCUUCCGGUUACUGUAAAAUGAUGUUGUCUCGGUUCAUUUCCUCUGUGCCUCUUCUUCUUUUUUUUUUUCUCUGACAGACCUUCCGCUGCACUCUAACUGAAGAUCCUUUGUAGUUUAGGGACAGGUAAGAAAUCUAGUUCUAAUCUCCACCAUUUUCUAAUUUUAGAAAGAUGGGUGAUCUUUAAAUGUUGGUAGCAAUAACAUUCUCUACAGCGUAUUUUCUAAGUGCCAUAAGCACCUUUCUAGACCACACUGAGGCAAAAAUUAGGCUAUUUCAAGGCCACCAGGAUAGAGAUUUUGAGAUUUUAUGGACUCAGUGUGUUCCAGAGCAUUCUACUAUAAACUGACACAAAACAUUCUUUCUUUUGACAAAUAUUUACUGAGCUUGUGCACUGUAUAAGCACUAUGCUGGGGAGUAGGUAGUUUACAAUGCAGUAGUAGUAGUAGAUUACAAUGCAGUGUGGAAGACUUGGAGUCCUAGUGGUGCAGUGGUUAAGAGCUUGGCUGCUAACCAUUAGUUCGAAUCCACCAGCUGAUCCUGGGAAACCCUAUGGGACAGUUCUGCUCUGUCCUAUGGGGUCUCUAUGGGUUGGAAUUGACUUGAUGGCAACAGGUUUGGUUUGUUUAUUUGUUUUUUGAAAGACUUAGGAGUUCCUGGGUGGCACAAAUGGAUAAGUACUCGGUUACUAACUAAAACGUUGGUGGUUUGAUUCCACCCAGAGGCACCUCGGAAGUAAGUCCUGACAAUAUACAAUUCUGAAAUAUCACCGUUAUUGGAAGCCCUAUGGGGUACAAUUCUACUCUGACAUACAUGGGGUUGCUAUGAGUCAGAAUCGACGUGAUGGCGACUGGUGCCGGUACUGGUACAGAAGCCUAGAUUUGAGUAUAUGGAAGGGAAUUUGAAAGUCAUACUUCUAAGCCCUUUGUCUUCUUCCACUGUGCUCUUCAGUAGCAGACGAAUGGAUAGGCCCUGAGACGAACCACCUGGGUUUGAAUUAUGUCUCUACCCUUUAAAUCUUUUGACACUUUUGUGCCUCAGCUUCCUCAUCUGUAAAAUGGGAAUGAUGAAAGUUCCUAACUCACAAGACAGUUGUGAGAAUAAAUUAAUAUAUGCAACUCACUUAAAGAGCGCCUGGCACAAAUAAAUGAGCGCUAUGUAAAUGUUUGAUAUUGUCAUUAGUGGCAAAUUUGUAUUAUUAUCAGCUCAAGUUUUUGCUUUUCCCACCUCUUCCUCACUUCCCAUCCCUUCCUGGUACCUGGGAAGUGACUGGAGACAUAAAGUGUUGAGGAGAAAGAGACAGUUGGAACGACUCCUGCUCCCAAAUGAUUCCCUGGUGCCCACGCUCCUGCUCCGUCUGCUCCACCACGCAGUGCAGAGUAUUCAUUGGAAAUUGAUGGCAGUAGAGGAGAAAUUCAGGCAGUACGGAUUUUUCAAAAGUGUCCUUCUGUGCAUUUUCCCUUAUACCAUAUCAGGGGAGGAAAUGGCCAUCUGAUAGAUGGAGGUCUUAGCACAUCUGCUUUUCCCGAUGGAACUGGACUGGUGAAGCAGCCGAGUAUUGGGAUGCUGCCAAGUGACACAUGACCAGGGCAUUUCCUACGUGAUCUGCUGAUUAGUUUAUAACCCAAGUAGUGAGAUUUCAGGACUUCCAGGAUGGAUCCACCUUAAAAAGUAGCCAGAUACUUGCUAAGGAGGCAUCUCCACACCCUUGCUGGAGCUGGUUUGAAUCAUUACUGGGGAUUCAGCUUAAGGAUCUUACCUGGAUCAUUAGGUCCAGGAGAGGAGGAUGGACUCCCAAGAAGGUUGAAAAGAAAUGUCCUGAGUCCCUGGGGAAACACCAGUGGAGUGCGGAGUCAUGGGAGCCAAGGGCGUUUCAAAGAGACAGUGACCAGCAGUGGAGAGUGCUCAAGAGAGGGCAAGUGUGAUGAGACUGAAAAGCAGCUGUUGGAUGGGACCGUGUAGAAGCCGUGGGUGCUCUCAGCAAGAAUAAGUCCAGGGAAGCAGAGAGGUUGGAAGCCACCUGGAGUAGAUUGAGGAGUGAAUGGGAUUUGACUUUAAGACUGAAUAAUGGAAAACCCUUGUCAAGUCGCAGAAUCUGGACAUAGAGGAACUGGCAACCCUUUUGUGAAAGUCAGGAUUCAUCCAAAUUUUGACCUAAGGCUCAACUUCUGGAGUAAGUCAAAUACAUUCGUUCUUGCAUGAAUAAACAAAUAUCUGAUGAGCUCCUGUUGUACACUGUGCCUUCCACCAUUUCUAGUGACUUUGCUUUCAAUAGGAUUUCACCUGCUUUUGUUGUCAAUUUAACUUUCAGUCUUUUGUAAUUAAUAUGUCUCUUUCUCUCUAGUAGCUUUUAAGAUUUCCUCUCUCCCUUUGUUCUCCAUAAUUUGUAGUCUGACUAUAUGUAUUAAGAUGUAGAAUUAGUAUUUAUUUAUCCUUCUGGAUCCUUGUACUAAAGUUUGCUUUGAUGACUCAAGUCAUCCUGCAGUUGUAGAGAAACAUUAGCAAAUAUCUCUUCAAAUUUUGCUUGUCUGCCUUUUUGGGAAAUCCUAUCAGACAUAUAUAUUGGAUCUUUCCAUUUUUUGAAGUCAUUUAAAUGUUUUGUCAUAUGUUUUUCUGUUUUUCUGUUUGUAGUGCAUUCCAGUGAAAUUCUUAGGGCUGUCUUGCAAUUCCCUGUUUUUUUCUGUGUAGUAUAACUAUCAAGGCUCAUUUUUCAAUACGUAUGCUUUUCAUGUCUAAUUGUUCUUACUUUACUGUUUUAAAUCCACCUAUUUUAUUUAUCUCACCUUGUUUUUGUCAAAUUUAUGUUCUAUUUUUAGUGAAUGCUAUUCUUUUAUCUCCUUUAUCACUCCAAAUGUGCUUAUUUUAAAUUCUUUGUCAGACUCUUGUCAUAUUUUAACUUUGUUUGGUUGAAAUAUAUCAUCUGACUGGUGAUUUAUAUUUCUUUAUUACUUUUUUUAUGAUUCGGUAUUAGGAUUUGCAGGCCUACUUUGAGUAGUUAAGUUUUGUUUUGUUUUUCUUUCCUCUCUACCUAUCCUUUCCUCCCUAGUUAUUUUUGUAAUUGUCUCCUCCUGGAUCCCUGAGGCUCCCUAAUUAGAAACGAGUCUUAAAUUGCAGGUUUGUGGUCAUACACCUCAAUAAUAUAUUGAGUUUGUAGCAAAUCUGGUCAAAGAGCUAGCUGCCAUCUUGUUUUAGUUCCUGUAGAUGAGGCUGUUUUUACAUCUACCAACUUCAUAGAAGAAAUAUUCCCAGUCAACAAUUAGCAUAAUGUUUCCUCAGGCUUUUGCUUUAAAAUCAGAUGGAGUUCCACUUCAGUCUCCAACCUGGCUCUUGUUCCCACUUCAUAUGAAAAAAUUUUAUUUACUAUUACCUCAGAUGAGUCAAACUCCCAGUUGUAUUUACCUGCUUCUUGCUCCAGAAGCUGGCAGGCCCAUAGCUUGGUGUCAUACACUACUGCUUACCUUACGUUUCUGUUCUAUAUACCUGGUCCAUGUAGAUGUUUAUCUUCUUUGAACCUAACCAGGUUUGGAAGUACUAGGUGGCACAAACAGUUAAGUGCUUGACUACUAACUGAAAGAUUGGUGGUUCGAAUCCAUCCAGAGGUACCCUGGAAAAAGUCCUGGUGGUCUGCCUCUGAAAGGUCACAGCCAUUGAAAGCCCUGUGGAGCAUAGUUCUACUCCGCACACGUGGGGUUGCCAAGAGCCAGAAUUGAGUCAAUGGCAACUGGUUUAUACCUGAUUUUUAAAAAUUGUUUAUUUAGUAUUUUAUCUACCAUUUGUUCUUGUUUGAAGCAUGCCCUUGAUGAUCUAACCUUGAUGCCUCUUUAGGCUGAUGCUUGCUUAAAUGCAACCACCAAAUUGAUUUAAAAAUAUCUUGAGGCCAAAUGAAGUAAACAUUUAAGUUUCCUUAAACUGCAGAGCAGCACUGUCCAAUAUAAAAAUAAUGCAAACCACCUGUUUAAUUUUAAAUUUUCUAGCAGCUACAUUUGAAAUAUAAAAAUAAGCAGAUAAGAUUAACUUUAAUGAUGUAUUUUAUUUAACCCAAUAUAUCCACCAUGUUAUCAUUUCAACAUGUAAUCAAUAUAAAAAAUUAUGAAUAAACUAUUUUACAUUCUUUUUAUACUAAGUCUUUGAAAUCCAGUGUUUAUACUUACGGCACAUCUCCAUUCAGGCUCGCCAUAUUUUAAAUGCUUACUAGCCACCUGGACAACAUAGACUGAUAGUAUUUGUAAAACUACUACUAACUGAAGGGUUGGCGGUUUGAACUCACCCAGAGGUGCCUUGGAAGAAAGCCCUGGCUACCUGGAGCAUAGUUUGACUCUGCACACGUAGGGUUGCCAUGAGUCAGAAUCGACUCGAUGGCAACUGGUCUUUGUUUUGUUUUGUUUUUAUAAUAAAGCAAUACUAAGUAUUUAAUCACCAUUACCACUUGGAUUUUAUUAGAUCUUUCUUCUAAGAAUUCCACUGCAUAAUUAAGACACAGAACACAAAAUUUAGAUGGUCUCAAAGACCAUCUAAUUUUUCUGUGUAUUAUGCUUAUAACUACAAUGUUAACAUAUUUGGAGAAGUCCCUUCGAUUUCUCUUUUGGAAUCUAGAGAAGAUAGCGAAAAGCCUUAAGUGCACAAAUUUGCAAUAGAAACAAGAUCAUUUGUUUUAUCAACUCUGAAAAACUGGUUUCUGAAAAAACAAAAUUUUAUUUUUACCAAGUGGCAUGAGAUGAGAAUGUACAAAGUUUGAGAUGGCAGAAAUUACCUAAGAAAUUAAGGAUUUAUACCCCAUUUACAGCCAAAAGUCAUUUGAAGGUGCUUGAAGGCUAACCAGGUUUGGAAACCCUGGGUAGCACAAACAAUGAAGCUUGAUGGAAUUUUAUGAGUUUGUAUGGAGCUAUUUUCAAAUGAGGUUAAUUUUAAACUCCCUCUAGACAAAGGACAUUUGGCCUUACUGAGUGUUGUAACUCUAAUUUUUUUUUAAGUUGGGUUUAUUGAGGUAUAAUUUAUAAACAGUGAAUUCAUCCUUUCUAGUAUAAAGUUCCCCCACGUGUCUGUCAGUUUGUCAUACUGUGGGGGCUUGCUUGUUGCUGUAAUGCUGGAAGCUAUGCCACUGGUAUUCAGAUACCAGCAGGGUCACCCAUGGAGGACAAGUUUCAGCUGAGCUUCCAGACUAAGACAGACUAGGAAGAGGGACCCGGCAGUCUACUUUUGAAGAGCAUUAGCCAGUGAAAACCUUGUGAAUAGCAGCAGAACAUUGUCUGAUAUAGUGCUAGAAGAUGAGCCCCCCAGGUUGGAAGGCACUCAAAAGAUGACUGGGGAAGAGCUGCCUCCUCAAAGCAGAGUCGACUUUAAUGACGUGGAUGGAGUAAAGCUUUCAGGACCUUCAUUCACUGAUGUGGCAUGACUCAAAAUGAAAAGAAACAGCUGCAAACAUCCAUUAAUAAUCAGAACCUGGAAUGUAUGAAGUAUGAAUCUAGGAAAAUUGGAAAUCGUCAAAAAUGAAAUGGAACGCAUAAACAUCAAUAUUCUAGGCAUCAGUGAGCUGAAAUGGACUGGUAUUGGCCAUUUUGAAUCAGACAAUCAUAUAGUCUACUACGCUGGGAAUGACAACUCGAAGAGGAAUGCUGUUGCGUUCAUCGUCAAAAAGAACAUUUCAAGAUCUAUCCUGAAGUACGACGCUGUCAGUGAUAGGAUAAUAUCCAUACUCCUACAAGGAAGACUGGUUAAUACGAGUAUUAUUCAAAUUUAUGCACCAACCACUAGGGCCAAAGAUGAAGAAAUAGAAGAUUUUUAUCAGCUGCUGCAGUAUGAAAUCAAUCGAACGUGCAAUCAAGAUGCAUUGAUAAUUACUGGCGAUUGGAAUGCGAAAGUUGGAAAAAAAAAGAAGGACCAGUAGUUGGAAAAUAUGGCCUUGGUGAUAGAAACAAUGCCGGAGAUAGAAUGAUAGAGUUUCGUAAGACCAAUGACUUCUUCAUUGCAAAUACCUUCUUUCACCAACAUAAAUGGUGACUAUUUUUUUAUACACAUGGACCUCACCAGAUGGAACACACAGAAAUCAAAUUGACUACAUCUGUGGAAAGAGACAAUGGAAAAGCUCAAUAUCAUCAGUCAGAACAAGGCCAGGGGCCAGCUGUGGAACAGACGAUCAACUGCUCAUAUGCAAGUUCAAGGUGAAAGUGAAGAAAAUCAGAGCAAGUCCACGGGAGCCAAAAUAUGACCUUGAGUAUAUCCCUCCUGAAUUUAGAGACCAUCUCAAGAAUAGAUUUGAUGCAUUGAACACUAGUGACCGAAGACCAGUCGAGUUGUGGAAGGACAUCAUCCAUGAAGAAAGCAAGAGGUCAUUGAAAGGACAGGAAAGAAAGAAAAGACCAAGAUGGAUGUCAGAGGAGACUCUGAAACUUGCUCUCAAACACUGAGCAGCUAAAGCAAAAGGAAGAAUUGAUGAAGUAAAAGAACUGAACAGAAUAUUUCAAAGGGCGACUCGAGAAGACAAAGUAAAGUAUUAUAAUGACAUGUGCAAAGAGCUGGAGAUGUUCUUUCCCAAAAGGGAAGAACACGCUCGCCUUCUCUCAAGCUGAAGAAAAAAUUCAAGCCUGGAGUUGCAGUAGUGAAGGAUUCUAUGGGGAAAAUAUUAAACAACUCAGGAAGCAUCAAAAGAAGAUGGAAGGAAUACACAGAGUCAUUAUACCAAAAAGAAUUAGUCGUUGUUCAACCAUUUCAAGAGGUGGCAUACGAUCAGGAACCGAUGGUACGGAAGGAAGAAGUCCAAGCUGCCCUGAAGGCAUUGGCCAAAAACAAGACUCCAGGGACUGAUGGAAUAUCAAUUGAGAUGUUUCAACAAACAGAUGCAGCACUGUAGGUGCUCACUCAUCUAUGCCAAGAAAUAUGGAAGACAGCUUCCUGGCCAACUGACUGGAAAAGAUCCAUAUUUAUGCCUAUUCCCAAGAAAGGUGAUCCAACCGAAUGUGGAAGUUAUAGAACAAUAUCAUUAAUAUCACACGCAAGCAAAAUUCUGCUGAAGGUCAUUCAAAAACGGCUGCAGCAGUAUAUCGACAGGGAACUGCCAAAAAUUGAGGCUCGAUUCAGAAGAGGACGUGGAACCAGGGAUAUCAUUGCUGAUGUCAGAUGGAUCCUGGCUGAAAGCAGAGAAUACCAGAAGGGUGUUUACCUGUGUUUUAUUGACUAUGCAAAAGUAUUUGUGUGGAUCAUAACAAAUUAUGGAUGACGUUGUGAAGAAUGGGAAUUCCAGAACACUUAAUUGUGUUCACGAGGAAUCUUUACAUAGAUCAAGAGGCAGUUGUUCGGACAGAACGAGGGGAUACUGAUUGGUUUGAAGUCAGGAAAGGUGUGUGUCAGGGUUGUAUCCUUUCAGCACACCUAUUCAAUCUGUAUGCUGAGCAAAUAAUCCAAGAAGCUGGACUAUAUGAAGAAGAAUGGGACAUCAGGAUUGGAGGAAGACUCCUUAACAACCUGCAUUAUGCAGAUGACACAACCUUGCUUGCUGAAAGUGAAGUGGAUUUGAAGCACUUACUGAUGAAGAUCACAGACCACAGCCUUCAGUAUGGAUUACACCUCAACAUAAAGAAAACAAAAAUCCUCACAACUGGACCAAUGAGCAACAUCACGAUAAACGCAGAAAAGAUUGAAGUUGUCAAGGAUUCCAUUUUACUUGGAUCCACAAUCAACAGCCGUGAAAGCCAGCAGUUAAGAAAUCAAAAGACACAUUGCAUUGGGUAAAUCUGCUGCAAAGGGCCUCUUUAAAGCGUUGAAGAGCAAAGAUGUCACCUUGAAGACUAAGGUGCGCCUGACCCAAGCCAUGGUAUUUCCAAUCGCAUUAUAUGCACGUGAAAGCUGGACAAUGAAUAAGGAAGACCAAAGAAGAACUGACGGCUUUGAACUGUGGUGUUGGCGAAGAACGUUGAAUAUACCAUGGACUGCCAAAAGAACGAACAAAUCUGUCUUAGAAGAAGUACAGCCAGAAUGCUCCUUAGAAGCAAGGAUGGCGAGACUGUGUCUUACAUACUUUGGACAUGUUGUCGGGAGGGAUCAGUCCCUGGAGAUGUACAUCAUGCUUGGCAGAGUACAGAGUCAGUGGAAAAGAGGAAGACCCUCAACGAGGUGGAUUGACACAGUGGCUGCAACAAUGAGCUCAAGCAUAACAACAAUUGUAAGGAUGGCUCAGGACCGGGAAGUGUUUCGUUCUGUUGUGCAUAGAGUGGCUAUGAGUUGGAACUGACUCGACGGCACCUAACCACAACAACAGUAUAAAGUUCAUUGAAUUUUUUAAAAUAACAUUUUAUUGUGUUUUUGGUGAAAGUUUACACGGCAAAUUAGUUUCCGUUUUAAAAAUUUCUGUACGCAAUAUUCAGUGACAUUAGUUACAUUUUUCACAAUGUGUCAUCAUUCUCUUAAUUCUGUUCUGAUAGUUCCGUGUCCAGUACUCUAGUUUCCCUGCCCCUUAUCUUCUUAUCUUUGCUUUAAAGUAAUUCUUGACCCUUUGGUCUCAUAUACAUGGUUUUUUAGUGGAGUACUGUGCUCAUGGGUAAUACCCUUUAUUUUGUGUGCCAAUUUGUUGUUUUGCCAAAAGGUGACCUCAAGGGAUAGUUUUGGUUCAAGAUUUAAAGAACAUCUCAAGGCAAUAGUCUCAGGGUAUUCUCUAGCCUCAACUGGUCCAGUAAGUCUGGACUUUACGAAUUUUCGUUCUGUUCUGCCUUUUUCUCCUAUUCUGUCUGGAUCCGUCUAUUGUGACCCUGAACAGAACGGAUCUAACUCUAAUUUUGAUAGACCAUUUACAAUCUGAUUUCUAGGCACCUCAGACAACUAGGUAGAUCCCUUUGGAUGAAAGAAAUCCCUGUCUUCCAUGUGGAUAUUGACAAACCCUGCUGCUUCUGGGGAAAGUAAUCCUUUCCAAAUAUUUUGUUACGUUAUUAAACCACUUGUUUUCUAAAGAACCAGGCCACCUUCUCUCAAGAUCCUUAAAUCAUACUACAUUAUAAAACUGUUUAUUUACACAGCUUAGAAACAUCGAUAGUUCAUUGACCUCCUGAUUUUAUGACCAGUCUUUAGACAUGCUAAUUUGUCACAUCUUUUGAAACUCUUACCUUCAUGGGUAGUGGUUUUCCCCAGUAAUUCCCAGUCAUGUCAUAUUUAAUGAAAACAAUACCAGUAAUCGUAUUGCCGCAUAGCUCUUUCCUCUUGGGGACCUCCAAAUGGAUUCCAGAUUGGCGAGGGUCAGUUUUCAAAACCUCUUUGUGAAGGAAGAAGGGGAGAGGAUUAGUUCCCAAUCAAGGCAGGGGAAGUGAGGCUCACAGGAUCAUCUCAUCGCUCCACGUCAGGCAGUGAGUCUGUGCUGGAACACUUCCGUUCCAAUAAUCUCAAAUACACCUAUUGGCAGAGACCCCUCUCAUGCUGGUUGGGGAGCCACCACGUUGUCAUCACAGUUGGAUAUGACAGGUUCCAGGAGCCUGGACCUUGUUCCCGACAGGAGACAGGAUGGGAAGCCUGUUGAUAGCCUAUCAUCAGGAAUACUUCAUUUCUUAUAUAAAGAGUACUCCCGCACUCCUAGCUCUCUCUAGCUCACUUUCCUUGCUUUAUUUUUUGCAAUGAUACUUAACAACCUUGUUGUUAGUU